CUUAAAAUCCUUUAAACA
rnacentral:tRNA from 1 species